rnacentral:lncRNA from 1 species
UAUUAUUUAUUUAUUAUAUCCGGUUGAACACGGUUGAACCCUGAACCCGUGAACCGAUGUCUUGACCAUUUCAAAUCAACCGGGUUCGGUUCUAUGAACUAUUAACGAGGUUUAUAAUAUCUUAUGACUAAUAGAUAAAAUACUAUCAAUAAAAUAUUUUCCAUGUAUUAUAUAAUCCUUGUUUUAUGAGAUUGAUGAUGAAACAAAUAUAUCAUCUUUCUACCAAUAUUUAAUCUCAAAUGCUGAAUACAUGUUUAUUCAGUGCUUACAGAGUAUCAUGUGGUAUUUAUACGUAUUACUCAAAAUUAAUUACGUCAAGAAGAAAAACAAGAAGUGAUUUGUGUGUUGCUAUUGUUCAUUUGUUGAAAGUAACAUGUAAGUAAUACAACAUGCCAUUCUGAAAGUAACCUAAUAAUUUCCUCAUUUUAAUUUUCUAUAUGUAAAUCAAACAGGCCUAAGAGGCUACUUGACUCAUGGGUCAUGAGGAAGAAAUAGCCCGUUUAUAACAACUAGCUUUAAUGCAACGUCCUCCUACGAAUCAAAGUCCCGGACCAAUAAUUAUGCCUAAUAGUUGUCAUAUUGCACUGUUCACAUUUCAAUAUGGUAAUUACACUUGCAACCAUUAUUUUUUUAUACUAAAAUAUUACUUUGGACCUUUCAUAUCAAUCAAACUCUUCUAUUUUAGUCAAAUAAUUAAUUCAUGUGAGUCUAUUCAUAUUCUAUUAAUUAUGUGACCUGGGCCUUUCAUAGUCACUCUCGCCCUCGACACCGGACAACCACAUCCUCAUCGCAUUUCGUAGCCUUUCGCGUUUUGUUGUUGACGGCAAGGAUGGCAGUGUUGUGUUAGUUUUUAUGACCAUAGUGAGCCACAACCACAUAACCUUUCGCCUUCUUAGACUUUUGCAUUUUAUUGUUGACUAUGGUGGAGGAAGUGUGGUGGUAGCAAUAAUAACUGUGGUGAGGACCGAUGGUGUUUGUGUGGUGAUAAGGGAUGGUGGUAGUAUAGUGGUACGUAGUGGAAGUGACAUUGGUGUUUGACGAGGACACUUUCGCAAGGAUGGCAUGGGGAUGGUGGAAAAUAUAUAAAAAGAUUUUGGGGAUGGCUUUUAAUGCCUCCGUCCUGAUAUUUGUCUUGAUAUUUGUUCCGACUCUGUCACGCUAAAUUAAUAUAUAUAUAUAUAUAUAUUAUUUAUUAUAUUUUGUAUUAUUUAAUAUAUAUUUUAUAUAAUUUACUAAUAAUAAAUCUCAUAUAUAUUAGAAAAUAAACAACUAGGGUAUUUUUUUUAUGAGAAAAAAAAAAUGGAGAACGGAACAAGGCAAGAAAAUUUGAUUCACAUAGAAGAUAGAGAUGGGGUGGUCAAUUUAAUCCCCAUAGGGGAUUGAGGAGGGGAAUGCCUAUUGAUAGUGGUGGGAUUGGUUUCAAGUUUUGGAUGGAUUAGUUUGAUCCUGAAAUUUUAAGAACCGUAGGAUUCGGUUCAUUAUGUGGUUUUAUUCAAAACUGAACAAUUUAAACUGUGGCCAUCUCUAGAUAUACAUGGACCCAUACACGAUUAUUUCUAAAAUUUAAUUGCUUCCAAAGAAAUUAGAGAUUCUUUCGCAAAGUUAAAGGGUAAAUGAAAGUUUUUCUUUGUUUGUCCGUUUGUACUUUUCUUCAGAUUUGAAUGUUUUGUAUGUGAAAUAGCUAGACAUAUCACUAUAAUAGUAAUUACACCAAUGUUCAGAUUUGAAUUUGUCUUUGUUUUCCUUACUCCUGAUUUGGACUCGAGUUUCUUUGCAUCUGGUUGUCCACUCAUUACAUGGCGGACUAUAUCAACAAGCAUUGACUUGUACCGAUCUGUCUUCUACGAAGACUUGACUUAUAUGGUGACUUAUUUGCCUUUAGAUAGUUAUGAUCCAAACCCAUCCAUUGGGAUAAACUCAAAUUUCCAACAAGUAAACCAAGAUGAGUGGCCACCAUGGGUGUUGACGAUGGGUACAGAGCAUUGAAUAACAUCUCAAUCAUUUGGGGCCUAACUUGACCAUUCUAAUGUUUACUUUGCCUUGCUUGGUGGCGAGGGAAAUUGCAAUUAGAAAGCUGCAACAUGAACCCCUCAAUUAUUUGCGAGUCUCACUUAAUAAUAAAUCUCAAAUAUAUGAGAAAAUAACAAUUAGGGUCUUUUAUACUAAGUUGAAAUUAUUUAUUGUAAUUAUGUUAGUUUUUCUUAUUUUUUUAUGUUUCAAAUUAAAUAAUUUGUAGUUGAUGAGAAGAAAAAAAAGAUAUAGGGAACAAGAAUGGGGCGAGAAAAUUCAAUCCACGUAGAGGAUGGGGAUGGGGUGAUGAAUUUUAAUCCCUGACGGGAUCAGGGAUGGGAUGAGAAUGCCUAUUGAUAGUUAUGAUAGCGAUGGGAUCGUUUUUAAGUUGUGACAGAUUGAUUUGAUCAUAAAAUUUCAAGAAUUGUAGAAUUCGGUUCAAUCCGUGGUUUUACUCAAAGCCGGACAAAUUCAAACUACAAACGCCCCUAGCAUAUACAGUUGGUAAAUUUUAUCACUGGUCUCUUUAAUUCAGAAAAAUUGACUUUAAUUCCAAUAGAUUUAAUUUGAACAAUUAUACCUUUACAGUUUUCUAUUAAUUGCAGAAAUUCAAUCCACGUAGAGGAUGGGGAUGGGGUGAUGAAUUUUAAUCCCCGACGGGAUCGGGAUGGGAUGAGAAUGCCUAUUGAUAGUUAUGAUAGCGAUGGGAUCGGUUCCAAGUUUUGGAAAGAUUGAUUUGAUCAUAAAAUUUCAAGAAUUGUAGAAUUCGGUUCAAUCCGUGGUUUUACUCAAAGCCGGACAAAUUCAAACUACAAACGCCCCUAGCAUAUACAGUUGGUAAAUUUUAUCACUGGUCUCUUUAAUUCAGAAAAAUUGACUUUAAUUCCAAUAGAUUUAAUUUGAACAAUUAUACCUUUACAGUUUUCUAUUAAUUGCAGAAAAUUCAAUCCACGUAGAGGAUGGGGAUGGGGUGAUGAAUUUUAAUCCCUGACGGGAUCGGGAUGGGAUGAGAAUGCCUAUUGAUAGUCAUGAUAGCGAUGGGAUCGGUUCCAAGUUUUGGACAGAUUGAUUUGAUCAUAAAAUUUCAAGAAUUGUAGAAUUCGGUUCAAUCCGUGGUUUUACUCAAAGCCGGACAAAUUCAAACUACAAACGCCCCUAGCAUAUACAGUUGGGUAAAUUUUAUCACUGGUCUCUUUAAUUCAGAAAAAUUGACUUUAAUUCCAAUAGAUUUAAUUUGAACAAUUAUACCUUUACAGUUUUCUAUUAAUUGCAGAAAAUUCAAUCCACGUAGAGGAUGGGGAUGGGGUGAUGAAUUUUAAUCCCCGACGGGAUCGGGGAUGGGAUGAGAAUGCCUAUUGAUAGUCAUGAUAGCGAUGGGAUCGGUUCCAAGUUUUGGAAAGAUUGAUUUGAUCAUAAAAUUUCAAGAAUCGUAGAAUUCGGUUCAAUCCGUGGUUUUACUCAAAACCGAACGAAUCCAAACUACGAACACCCAUAGCAUAUACAGUUGGGUAAGUUUUAUCACUGGUCUCUUUAAUUCAAAAAAAUUGACUUUAAUUCCAAUAGAUUUAAUUUGAACAAAAUUAUAACUUUACAGUUUUCUAUUAGUUGCAAUGUGAUUCCUUCAUCGAAAUUCAUUUAAAUGCUAACAAAAAUUGCAUAGCUUCUCUUCUUCUUUUUUUUUACAUUUUUGGUCAAUAUUUUUACAAAUUUUGGGUAGAUGGACCGAUUACAAUUUGUUGAAAAUUAAGGUUGGUCAGGUUACUCAAACCCUUUGUCCAAGCCUACCCAAAAUUGUGGCUUUAAAAUUGUGUUUCAGUAUAUUGCCUAAGUCCAUGAAUUUGCCUGGCGCCGUGCUCAGGUUAAUUAGCCCAACUCAAGUUUUGCAUUUUGUUUCAUGACCGUACACUAUUAUUUUUAAAUUUUAAUUGUUUCCAAGGAAAUUAGAGAUUCUUUCGCAGAGUGAAAGAGUAAUAUAAAUGAAAGUUUUUCUUUGUUUGUCUGUUUAUUCUUCUCUUCAGAUUUGAAUGUUUUGUAUGUGGAAAUAGCUACAUAUCACUAUUAUAGAAAUUAAACCAAUGUUCUAUAUGUGGAAAUAGCUAAACAUAUCAUUAUCAUAGAAACUACACUUUGUUUCAUUGACCGAAUCCAUAGUGAGUGUAUGAAUAAUUUUAUUCAACUAAUAGUACAAAAAAUAUCAUUAAAAUAUUUUCCAAGUAAUAUAUAAUUCAAGUCUUAUGAGAUUGAUGAUGGAACAAAUAUAUAAUUUUUCUACCAAUAUUUACGAUAUGAAUACACCGUUAUUGAAUGCUUUCAGAGUACCCUGUAAUAUUUAUAAUUGUUAUUUCUAUCUAAUCACGUAGGCUUAUAUCUGUUAAAUAGUUGAAAGAUAAGAGGUGAUCCAUAAUAUGUUUGUAGUUGUUAUUUAUUUGUUGUGAGUACCAUGUAGGAAUAUCACAUGACACUUUAGGAGUACCUAAUAAUUUCUCCAUUUUCAUGAUCUAAUAUGUAAAUCAAACAAGUCCUAAGAAACGACUUAAUCCACGAGUCAUGAGUCAUAUUCACAACUACUAGCUUUUAAUAGUACGUCAAUCAUACGCCUAGACCUUGUGGGUCUUGUUUUGUUCACUUUACAUUAAGUGUAAAUUAUACUUUGCACCAUUAUAUUUUUAUGAAAAAAACACUUUGGGCCUUUUAUGAGGUAGGGUAAUGACGACAAGGGGUUGGGAGUGGUGAGAGACCUUGUGGUUUUGGUGGGGUGGCUAUGGCAAUGGAAGGUGGCUAUGGUGUUUCGGGGCUAGGCCCACUAUGGUUUUGUAUUGGAGGAGAAGAUGAAAUUUGGAGGGAAAACGGGACAUACUGGGUAUAAAAAUAGAACCCAAUUUCUUUUUUUAAAUUUGCUAUUUGGGAAGGUGUAGGGACUAAGAAAUAAAGGGGGGUGUAAAUAGAAGUGCAAAUGGUGGAUCUCAGUUGGUGGAUCUCAGUUCUGACGUAGCUAGACAAGUAGUGCUAUUGUUGCGUUCUUCGUCAUGAAGUCGGACAAUCGUUCAUUAGUGGGGUUGAUUGCAACGAUUUAACAAGUCAAGGAGCAAUUUGAGAAAAUUCUUAAUUUGAGGGGCCAUAGUGGGAAUUGGCCAAUAUUUUAAGGGAACAAAGUGUAAGUACCUUAUAAAAACAUAUCAUUAUUCAAGCUUAGCUGCUCCAACACCCCCAAGCAUCUAUACACGUUUAGUGGCCUGGUUCUAUUUGAGCAUUGUGCUUGUACGGUUGAACUAAAACGCCUUGGUUUGUCUCUGAUGAUUGGUUUAGUGGAAAACAAACUAUACAUGUUUUACUCCCACCUAACACGUAUCCCCAAUUUUGCGGAUAGGAUAUCAUGGCUCCAAUCGUUAACUAGUUUUUGUAUUUGUUAUUAAUUUGGCUGUAUACCAUGUAGAAUACUACAAACAAUGGCGCUUUGAGCAUACCUAAUAAUUUCUCAGGAGUCGGCGAGGAAAUGUCUCAUGUUCACAACUCCUAGCUUCAAACGGAACCGUUUAUUCAUCACCUACUACACCAAAAUUGUCGGUCUUGCAUUGUGUUCAUUUCCGUGAUAGUAAAAUUACACUUUUGGCAACCAUCAAAUUUUUAAGAAAAAUUCAGUUGGGGGCCUUUCAUGUCAAUCACUCUCAUUUUAGGUUAAUUUUUAAAUGGUGACCCUGCUUUCAAUCCGCCGUAUAUAAUAGAGUGACCUAAAUAGGCUCGUGAUCGUUCUUUGAAUAGAGGAUGACAUAAACUUUGCGGCCGCUACGCCCGCCUGGGGCAAACAAUCCGCAUACUUUCGCGGGGAAAGCGUGGCGAUGGGGUGUAAAACAUAAAAAGAUUUUGUGGAUGGCUUUGCAUGCUUCCGCCUUGACACCUACCCCAAUUCUACCCUGCUAAAGUAAUAUAUAUUUUAUUUAUUAUAUUUAAUAUUAUUUAAUAAAUAUUUUAUAUUAUUUACUACUAAUAAAUCUCAAAUAUAUAAGGAUAUAUACAACUAUGGUCUUUUUUACUAAGUGAAAGUUAAUCAUUUUUCUUAUGUUAGUUUUUUUUUUUUUUUUGCGUUUGAAAGUAAAUGAUUUGUAGUUGACGAGGAAAAAAAAAACUGGGAGCAAGAACGGGGUGAGAAAAUUCGAUCCCCGUAGAGGAUGGAAGUGUGGUCAAUUUAAUCAUAGUCUGGGAUCGGGGAGGAGAGGAUAAUGCUUAUUCAUAGUGGGGAUAUGGAUGGAAUUUAAGACAGCGGCCCAUGCCCAUCACUACCUAAAAGAGGCUACAAAUGGCCCCCUUAUUGAAUGGAAAAGCAUACGGAAUAGCAAACAGUUGAUACUUGACCAAAAAGUUGUGAGCCAUUAAGCGAUAUAUUGAAAGUAAAGUGUAUAAAUUAAGAUUUUAUGGUAAAAUGAAGGUUGAGUUUAAUUUCCUUAAUUUUUAGGAAAAAAAGAAGUAAAAUACACUUUGCCUAAAGCUGAAAUAACUUUUUCAGAUAUUGUUUGUUUCUUCUCUCUAUUGAGCUUUCGCUAAUUAAACAGGAAAAGUGGUAAUGGGCAAAGUAGAGAAUUUGUGUUGGGCUUUUCUUUUUCGUUGUGAUUACACUCUCCUAAUUGAUAAUUCUUUUCAAUUGAUUCAUGCCCAAUCUCCUGAGUAUUAUCCCGUCGCCAAUCUUUCCACUUCAUGGGACCAACAACGACUCCGUUUGGCACAUCCCUUGAUUCUAUCGUCUCAUAACCUGCAACGCAUCCUUGUGAUAAGUAAUUUUGAUGUGGCUUCGGUGUGACAAUAGUAGCGGUGCCUGCCUUUGGCCAUCCUCAUCUCCCAUCCCCAGGUAUUGGAUAGAUCAUCCCCACAACCUCCGUUUGGUCUGCUCACCGGACAGUCCAUUCAGAUCAAAAUGCAACUUCGAUUCACACAAAAUGGAGAUUUGAUCUUGGAAAAUGACGAUGGCAGCUUUGUCUGGUCUACAAACACAGGAGGGAAGUCUGUUUCUGAUUUAAAUUUGACUGAAGAGGGAAAUCUCGUGAUUUAUGACAAAAACAAUAAAUUUGUUUGGCAGUCUUUUGACCAUCCAACAGACACCUUACUUCUUGGGCAGAAAUUAGUUCGUGGGAACAAGUUAACUGCCAGCGCAUCCGCAUCAAACUGGAGUCGAGGUUUGUUUUCGCUUGCUGUUCGGUGGCUGCUGGUUUUGUCGCGUACAUUGAAUCCGACCCACCCAGCUCUCUAUUUUGAAUACUAUCUUAUGCACUACCCUCAUAUAUCCAAUUUGGGAAAUGGAACUUCAGGGGUUCUCAAUACUCCCUGCAACAACAGGUCCGCAGUUCAUUAAGUUUUGGAAUCUGACGGGUCAUUUGAAGGUUUAUGAGUGGAAAGAAUCUGAUUAUAACUGAUGGUGGUGGCGGAUCUGCUCACAUCCUAUAUUGGUGACUGGUUGGUAUCCAUUGGCAUGUGGAAAAUAACGGUAUUUGUUCAGACGGGCAGUGCUUUUGUCCCAAGGAAGCCCACAGAACUGCAAUACAACAAGCUUUUUUUAGGCAACAACGAUAGGAAACCCAACCAAGGAUGCGCACAACCCUUAUUGCCAUCUCUUGUGAUCAUUCCAAUAUCAAGUCUUAUGAGCUUCAGAAUCAUCCUACGGUAACUUUGGUCAAUCCUACAAUUAAAAUCCCAGUUAGACGAUAAUAACCGAGUUGGAGGGCUGUAAGAAAGCAUGUUUGAAAAAUUUUUCGGCAGAGCCGCACAGUUUAUACGUCAGGGAAUACUAGUGAAUUGCUUAUUAAUAUCAGAAGUCUUCUCUGUUGUAGACGCAGGGGUGAUAAAUUUGAGUGUGUUUCCUAAAGUGCAAAAAUCCUGCAUGCAUGGACAACAACAUUAGCAUCUCUUCCACAAAUCGAUGCGGUCACAAUCAUAUUGGGGGGGUCCAGUCCUUGGUAGCUUUCUUCGUGUGUUUUUAAUGUUAAUGGCCGCCUUAGCUUUUACCUUUAAUGGAAAGGAAAAGGAGGCCAGGAACUUUAUGAGAUUUAUCUCGCCAAGUACCUGAAUGGCUGCCAGAUUCUCUUAUGAAGACUAAACAACCAUGACGCAACGAUUUUAGUACAAUGCGUCGGGGAAGGAGUGAUUUUGGUUCAGUCUUUGAAGUGAGUUGCGCAACGGCAACCAAAAUUUAGCAGUGAACGUCUACAUGGUUUAAGGUCAAGUUGAGAGUUCGGUUUCUAUCUGAAAGUUGAGACAAUAGGGCGGCAUCAUCAUGUAAAUUGGUGAGGCGGGUGGAUCCUGUGCGGAGAAUAACAUAUAGGCUUCUAGUGUAUGAGCACAUUUCUAACUUGUCCUUGGAUAAAUGUAUAUUUUGACAAUUCACAAACGGGCCACUCGUGGUUGGCAAUCGAGAAGGAAGAAUCAUCUUAGACUUAGCCAAGGGAUUAGCCUAUCUCCCAUGAGUAGUGGUCAGAAAAAUUUCAUCUGGAUAUCAAACCACAAAACAUCCUCUUUAGAUGAUAAAUUGAAUGGCAGAAUGUCUGAUUUUGGGUUGUCAAGUUAAUUGCAAGGAUCAAAGCAAUUUAACGCUUGUGGGGAACUCCGGGCUACAUGGCUCCAGACUGUUAACGUUAAACAUCACUGAAAAGUAGUGUGUUACAGCUUUGGUGUCGUGGUAUUGGAAAUCCUUUGUGGUAGGAAAACUUGGAUCGGUCUUCAACCUAGGGGGAUCUGCAUGUAUUGAGUCUUUUGAAGCGAAAAGCAGAAGACGGACGAGACUUGAGAUAUCCAUCGAUGCAGACAAUGAUAAAUGCAACUACAAGAAGCAGAAUCAUAAGAUGAUGAGGUUUCUAUGUGGUGUUUACAGAGUGAUUUGGCUAGGAAAGGCCUUCCAUGUCCUGUGGGGGUGGUAGGUCUUGGAAGGCUUUGUUGGAUGUUGAAACAAACUUGGAUUAUAGCUUUCACAACGCCAAGAAAGAAUUGGGCAGAUGUUUGUUCACAAACGAUCGAUGCCUUAGGUGUUGCUUACUCAAAUGCUUCCAUCAGCUUGUAUCGGGACCCAUGGUAAGGUGGAAGCACCUUCCAUAACAAAUAAAUAAUAAUUAAGAUUGGGGGGGGGGGGGGGCCGUAGAGUUGUACAGUCAAUUGCUUUAGUGUUUUGCAGUCAUCUUUUCUGUCUUUUUGAUUAGUGAAGUGUGAGAAUUGUGUGGGCGGGUUAGGUUCAUGAAUUGAGUAAUGGGUAGCAGUUGAGAGUCUAUUGUAUGGCCCAUUGUAAUAAGAACAAUAGUAAUUUGCAAUUAUAUGAUCAUUCACAUUGAAUUAAAUGAAUCCGAUACUUAGACACAAUACCAUUAACUGACACCCCGCAUCAGAGUCGUGUAACAUAGUUUAGUAUUUGGGGUUGGGCCAAGCCUUCAAAAAGGAAUUGAACUAGUUUGUGACAUUGCAAUCACAAAAAUAAUCACCAGCCUUCUAGUUUCGUUAAAUUGACCGCCUUCUUGUAAAAAACUUGUCAUAAGAGUUUUUCCAAUAAUGCUAAAAAGUAAAUAUCAACAUCGCCUACUAAUGUUGCCAUUCUUAAUAAAGAAAUACUAGGCCUCCCAGAUGUGCUGCCAAAUUCAUAGUUCCAGCAAAUUAAGAGAAUAAACAUAAAAAAUUUAAAUACACGACUGUCCCUUUCCUGCUCAUAAUAUAUAGUUUACUGGACGUUAAGAACCUAUAAAGCAUAAAAUCAAGAUUACAAUCAAAUUUCAUACUUCUCAAUUUAAGAAUUGUCAGAAUCUUCAUAGUAAACUAAAGAAUUUAAAAAGCGAAUGCCUUUUGACUGCUCCAAGCGAAUCCUGUUCCUAAAAAGUUUUAAAAAAAAGUUGCUCCUAGAACAAGAAUCCUUUUGAAAGCGCCCCUUACAGAAUCUGACUCUGUCCUGUAUUAACAGUCCUUUCACGCCCCAUACUCUAUGUCCAAGCAAUCAAAUAGCAGUUACUAACAAGCAGCUGCGCCACUAACCUCUAAAAGAACAAAAAUUAAAGAGUUCUAGAAUCCCGUUCAAGAAGAAGAGAUUAAGUUUGUAAUUUCGCACUGUACCUUGGUGUUUUGUCCUAAAUAUAAAAAUUCUUGUCGUGUUUUUUCCAUUAGAUUCAAUUCCUAUGCAUAUUUUUAAGCAUCCACAUGAACUAUUAAAGGCUUAUAAUAUUUUUAAUGAGAUGCAAACCUUUGUCAUUUUAAUUCAAGUACGAAACCACUACAACGAACACAUCUAUAAGGGAUAAAGACAAUAUUGACGGGUCUUCCAUCUUGCAAAUAGGGCAUAUCUUGUUAAGGCAGAAUUUUCGAAAUGCAACCCUUAUUUCCAAUUCCACGUGUUCCAGCUACUUCAUCGCCUACUUGUGCUUUUACGUUCUGUACAAUAUGUACACACGUCUUUUCUGGAUUAACACUAGAACCUACCAAUGCAAAGGACCUGAACAAUGUCAAGGUGAACACUAGAACUACUAAUCCAUUCUGCGAAAAGAACGGGGGGGGACUUGGUGUGUGAACACCCAAUACUUUCACGUCGAUAACGCAAAAACUAAUUACUGAGUGCAGGAACCCAGGAGAGUCUUUCCAGUUACAAAGCCAAGUGGAAGGGAGAGGAAUUCCAACUUAAAGCCGUCUCAACUACGGCCUCCUCAUCCAAUCUUUCCCCUUUUCCCCGGGAACACCCUCAAGCAGACCAUAAGAAUUCACUUUCCUAGCAAGUCCCCAUUCGUUCUGUCCAGCAAAACAAGGCUCUCCACGUACACGCCAAUAUAAAACGAGAAUUCGACGCCUCCCCUUUCAAGGUCCACAACACACUUACUCUCGGGGUGAUACAAAACCAAGUCUCCACCCCCAAUCACAAUCAACAAAUUUCCACUCGCUCUAAUACCAACUUCUUGUUGAAAUAUUUUCAAGAUAUGUAUAUAUGUACUAUGUUUUGAAGUUUUGGAGUCCACAUUGAAAAAGAGAAGGAAGUAGGAAAGGAAGGAAAAGGUUUUUAAGUGCUAGUCAUUAUGACUUGUUUGUCUGUUGUGCUAGGCCGAUACUUUGGGUGUAAGUGUGAUGCAAACGUAGGACGGUGCAAUCGUCCGCAACACGCACACGCGGGGGGGGGGCGCGCGCGCGUGGCGCAAUGUGGCGCUCUUAGUGGCGCACUUGGCACGUGGCACGUGUGUAGUGUGAUCAAGACCGUUGAUUUUUUUUCAUGAUGAUCAUUAACGAUUUGGACGGUUAAUAUUAAAGUUUAACAAACCAAGAUCGUAUGGUGGAAAUCACAUCUAAUUAUAAGAUGUGGAACGGCUUGAUUGGAUAUUGACGAGGUGCGAUCUCACCGUUGAAUACUAAAAGGUGUGAUUCGGUGGCAUGGUUUAAACCUAAUUUACUGUUAUAAAUGACAGUUUAGAAAUGUGACUGUUAGAUUUUGAAUCUAACAGUCAUCUUCUUCGCAAACACCUCUUCAUGAAAAGACCCUAUUCUGUCUAUAAAUUUACAGAUUUCGCAGCAAUUUAAGACCUUGAUUUUCGAACUUCUCUUUUUCUUUUGGAAAAUUACAGUUUUCAAAUUUGUCGUGAAUUCUGUUUUCUGGCAGAAACAAAAUUUCCAGAUUCUUGGCUACCUAGAAAAAUCUGAAAGUUAUUAGGUCUGAUUUCGUUUGUGGCAAACGCAGUCAGACUCAGAUUAGAUUCUGAGCUUCAUUGUAUCCUAGAAGCGAUUCGCUGUGAACCCAGUGCAUACCAGUCUUACAGAAUUGGUGUGGGCGAAUAACGCUUAAGGAAAGCACAUUUUGACGUGCCUAAAGUCUUCUGCAAUUGGUGAAAUUUGCUCUAACACUUCUGGGGUUAAACCGGCCUGCAAAUCAGCAGUGUAUUGCUUAGUCCACGACUCUACUACGCUAUAUUCUUUCAUCGCCCAAACAGAAACAGCCCCACAUUGUCCACCGCGAUUGUGAUCGAAAAAAAUCAUAGAGAUGAAACUCCCAACUAGGUCAAGUCCCAAGUUCAAUAGCAAACCGGAGCCAAUGUUUCCGAGAGCUCCAUCUCGCAAAACACCUCAUCGUCCAUACCAAAUGACACAAUCACAUUACGGUAAUCAUCAUCCAAUGUGAAGCCCCAUUCACAAAAACCUGCAUUGUAUUGAGGAACACAGUAACUAAUGUCUGCCUUGGGAAGUAAAAACUCAUCCAGGUAAACGAUUCUGACUACCUUGCAGUCAUUGUUUGGGUAAACUUUCCCGUUGACCUCUAUAGUUUAGAAAAAGUUUUAGUUUGAUCCGUACACAUCUAAUUUGAACAACUAUAACUCUAUAAUUUCCUGUGAGUCGCAGUGUGAUCCCUCUAUCCAUAUUCGCUUAAAGCUAACAGAAAUCGUAUUUUUUUUUCUUGAGACCUGGGUGCGAAACGUAGCAGUAACAAAAACCAACCUCAACAUUGAAAAUAAUAAAUAAAACUUUAGAAUUAAAAGACAAAAGUGUCCACUACCCUUUCUAUCCUUUCCAUAGUAUAGAAAUUCAAGUUGUCAACAAAUUGUUUCCGAGAAAAUUGUUUACAGGAAACUUGAUUAAAGUGAAGUAGAAAUAAAAAAUUAUCUUUUUGUGGGUGUUGUCAUUUGACCAAAAAAAUUUGUAGAAACUAAAAUUGAUAGGGGAAAGUAAUGAAAAAAAUAAAAAAAAGAAAAAAACAUAAAAAUAGAUUCGUAAAAAACUGUUUAUUCAAACUGCGUCGAAGAUGACAAGCAAAUUUUUGGAACCAAGUAAAUUUGGGUUCAACUUGUACAUAGGACUGGUUUACACGCCCGAGUUCUAUUUAUCAUAUGUUAAUUAGAAACACAUUAAUGGUAGAUACAUUUGUUUUGAUAUCAUACAGUAAAUAAGUAAAUGAUACACUUUUCAAUCAAUGUUUAAUUGAGUAAGCCACGUAGAUUUUAGAAACUCCAAUUAAUGACAUUUGUACAGAUCAGUUGUCACAUGUACAAUGAAGUGUUCAAUUAACUGCAACUAAAAAUUAACUAUUGAUAAUUGUAUAAUUAGAUAUUUAUUAGGAUUUUUUCUUCUCAGCUUUUCACUCAUUAAAAAAAUAUGGUAUAAAAAUUAUUAUUUUUUUUAGUAAUGUAAAUGGCAUUAUUCAUGUUAUCUCACUAUUUAUUUUUUAUUUAACGUUUUUAUUUACUAUCCUUCUAUUUUUUUUAGUAGCAAAUUUGAUAAUUAUUUCUUCAAAAAUUAAAAAGUGAUAAUAUUAAAAUACAAUUGUGCAAAAAAUUCAAAUAUUUUACUUCUCUAGAUGUGUUCUAAUAUAAUUAAAAAAUUAAAUAUUCAUUAUUACUGAUAUUAAUAUAUUUUAUUUUCUUUCUAUUUCUCCUACGAUUUGCCUAUUUUCUCGUAAUCAAGAAAAAAAUGCAUGUAUACAACUAAUUUUUCGACAUGCACUGUAACAAAAAAUUCUAAAUGUAAAUUUUAAAAGAUUGACCUUUAUAUAGAAAAGUUGUGAUAAUGCUGUGUUUGGAACCCAUAUUUGGUGAGAGAAAUAAAAAUAAAAAAGAAGUUAGACUACCCAACUAUUCAGUAACAUUGGAUCAUCUAUCAUUUUUAUUUCUAUUUUAUUUUUUCUCACCAAUUCCAUGAUUCAAACACAGCCUAAAGAGAAAAUUGAGGACACACAAUACGAAUACAUUCACAUGUAAAUCUUAAAAAAAAAAGGAGGACAAGACACGCUUGAAGAGUUAAAUAUGUAUCUUCAUACAAAUAUGUUUUAAGUAUUUUCUAAAUAUUUUGUAUAAUCAAUGAAAAAUUCGUACGUGUCCUUCUACCAUUCGUUUUCAUUAUUGUAUUUUGCAUGCCUUCAUCCAGUAUAUUGCUAAAAUCAACUAGGCAACAAACUUUUUUGCGUAUGCAGAGUGUCCCAAACAUGUUCCGCAUGUAUUUCAAUUGUCAAAGUGAAAAACAUGAUAAUGAAAUAAGGCACAUCCUUAUUUGAUGUGAGACAUGUGAUUUACAGACAGUAUUUGUGGGAAAAUUUAUAUAAAAAUAAAAUGUGUUACUUGGAGUAUCGCCUUAGAUGAGUGUCACACAACUUUGGACAGCGUCCGAUACAUAUAUGAAAGAAUACUUGACUUUUUGGCAGUGUCGUGUUUCUAAAAGUAAAUUAGAGCGUCACAGAAAAAAAAAUCAUAUAUAAGUAAGAAUAAAUGCAAAUUUGUGUCCCCCAAAAACCUAAAAAAUUAUGGACAAUAAAUAAUUUAAAAAUAAUUUUAAAUCUAUACGCAUCGCAGAAUGAAUAAAUCCAUACACAUACAAAAAGAAAUAAAUAUCUUUGCAUAUGUAGUUAUGAGUUGUACUAACUUAUAUCUUUCAAAUUUUUAAUAGAUAUUAUUUCUUAGUAAAAGUAAGAACUUCAUAAAUUUAAAAGAGAUUUUUAUUUAUAAAUAAAAAAAACCGUGCAUCGCACUGGCUACGGACUAGUUUGGUAAGUAAUUCUCCCCGUUUUAUAUAAUAGUAACGUUUAGACUAUUCUCUUUUAAACUAUUUAUUCUAUUAUUAACCACCAACACCACUAUAACCAUACUUGUCUAUUUUUAUGAACUAUUGGAUACACAUUAACACUUUAAAAAGAUUGUCAUAAUGAAUUCCGCCUUUUUUUUUUUGCAAGCUGAGAUUUGAACCUGAAUUUGAACUUAAGCUUGCCCAAAUUCUGUGUACAUGAUGCAUAGAAAGCAAAUUAGAAUAUCAAUGUUCUUUGACUUUCUAUGAUUACGGCUGGAAUGCCAGAAAUAAAGGUAUACUUUCUCCUGUUUUAUAAUACCUUCGUUCAUUUCAUCCUAAUACUCCUCUCUAGCUUCGAGAGGAGAAUUAGGAUUCCACAAAUUUUCUGCUAACUUAGAAAUGAAAAAUACAGAAAAUCAGAUUUUUCAUUACUUUUCUAUCAUUUUUCUUUUCUUUUUUCAUUAUGGUGACCAAAUAACAGAGAAGUGUAUUUUUUUUUUGAUCCAUCAUUGUUUACAAUUAUGACUAGUUAGACCAUUGGAUAUCAAGUCUACCAGUUUUGAAUGUUAAAUAUGCUCUAUGCAAUUACCAUUUAUGUAUGAAAUCAUUUAUAAUCAUGGAAGCAAUCACAGCUUCGAGUCAGAAGUAUACCUUAGUAAUUGUUGAGGAAUUGUCCGAAGGUUAUUGAAAGCUGAAAACACCACUACUUCUAGUCAAGUCAACAGGGCUAAUAAUAAUAAACAGUAGGCUAAUGACUCCGUUUAUUCUUUAAUAUAUAUGUAAUUAACCUCAUGGCAUCUCUUGUCCCCUUUUCCGAAAAAAAAGGUAAGGGUUCCACCGAUCUUUCACAAAGGUAAGAGAUACCAUGUUUCACAUUGAAGUGAAUAAUGAGGCACAAAACAGAUAUGAAUGCAAUGCCCAUAUACUGAUAAUAAGAUGAGUUGGAGCUUUUCGGUGAAAUCUAAGCUGAACUUGGUAGUCCAAUCUGAUGUUGUAAGAUCUUCGUCGAAUAAAGCUUUCUGCUGCAGGAAAUCAUCUUCGUCGAAUAAAGCUUUCUGCUGCAGGAAAUCUUGGCAGCAAAUUAGUUUUCUAGUAAUAAAUCAAACGACAAAACUAAGGGAAAUAUAGGUGAAUGAUGUACAUGCUCUUGGUUCAACAUUUCCAGGGACAGAUGGUACUCUUAAAUCAUCUUCCUUAGAAAGCGACUCUGAGUGUUUUAGCUGCUCGCUUGGAGAGCCCAUGCCUGUAGACUUCCGAGGUGACAAAACAUCUGAUCACAGAGACUUCCAUCACUCAAAAGGGUAGUGUUUGUAGUUCAAAACAGAAAGUUACAAGGUUUUCAGCAUGUCUGAAAAUUAAGAUAGAUUCAAUGCAACAAUGAAAUAUGGGAUGCUCUAAUAAUAGCUUACCCCUAACAGAUCAUUUAAAACCUCAGUCCAAGCCACUGACAGCUGGCAAGUGGCGUGUAUGAAUAUAGCUAGUGCGCUAUUUGAGAUUAGAAGCAUGUUUGAUUUGAAUACCUUCCAAUGGAUGACUGCAGGACAAUGAAGCUCCCAAAAGCUGAGUGUAUAUUUUCCUUGCCGGGGUUGAAGGAAAACACAGAGAAAAUUCAUCCCGUGUGCUUUCAUAGCGUCCUCAUUGCUCAUGUUUCAUUAGCCUAGCCUGUAAGAACGGUGAUACUAAUUCCAUCGCAUAAUUAAGUUCAUGAACCACUUAUACACUCAAAUUGUAGAAUUUGAAAGAAAGAAGAAAUAACUAGUAUUCUAGCCGACAAUACCAUCAGAGCUCCUCCAUCUCUUUCCAAUAGACAUCCAAAAGACAGUUUUGAAACAAGAACAAUUCCUGGAAAUAAUGGAAAAGGAUCUGCUUGAAGCACACAAAAGAUUAAGAAAAAAUAGGGGUGACUUUCAAGGAAACAUGAAGUGCACACAAGUUCAAAAGAAAUACAUCCCUAGGGACAAGUUUCUCUGCUUCACAGUGCAGUCAAUUUUUUUUGGGAAUACAGAGAAUUACGACUUCUUUUGUUUAAUGAAGCAAGUAGAGUACACUAAAAUCUUAUAGCUACAUAAGAGCGAAAAUAAAUUCGAAAGCAAAAAUGCAAAAAUAAAUUUAAACAUAUCGAUGCCUACCUACAAUUAGUAAGUGAAGUUCAAUUUGAUGAGAAUUCAUUUAUUAUUUAUGGGCCACUUAAUAAACAAGUUUUUGAGCAAGAGGAAGAGCAAGUUCCAAGUUUUUGAGCAACAGUCAGGACAUUGAAAUCAGACUUUGGGCAGAGUCGUCCGCUAUUGCAACUUGUCACUUGCAUAAAACUUAACUAGCUAAGCCCGAUUUUCUUCGCUAAUGGACCAAAAUGAUGAAAUCCAACCAAGGGUUGCGUUCUAUGCCCAAAAAACAUAAUUUUAAGUAUUUAAGGAUCAAUUAUAUGUUUCCCAGCCUGUUCCUAAUUAGGCGGGUUUUUUUUUCUCUUCUCAUGGAAAACAAUAAAGUAAAUACAUAUUUACUGCAUGUUCUACGUUCCUACACGGUUUGGCAACCAAUUAAUUUGAUCCAAUUCCUCCUUUUAGAGCGCCAUGAAUAUCCUAGAAAGUAAGAUUUUCUUCUUCCCAUGUUGAAAAAGGGCAUAUAAUCAUAGGAGACAGGGUUGAGCAAGGGGAAGUUUCUGUUCCUGUAUAUUUGGCACAAAUGAGAAGGUUGAAUGUUCAUUAAAUUCCAGUUGUUUUGCUACCCAAAAUAUACCCUUUAUUCUUCAACAGAUGAUUGAAUGACUUGCCUUUCUACACAAAUCUAAUGGCUAUUUAGGCAACAAAUUUUGCGAGCCUGGUUUCACUUGCGUCUCAAAUGCCCAAUGCCAAUAGUGAUCAAAAAAAAAAAAAAGUGCGAUGCUUCCCAUUUACUUCUGUGGUUCAGGGUGGAUGACGUUAGCUUUUGAUCCAGAGACAAAGACUGUAUUUCCUUCUGGCACAUAUGUUUUUGAGCCUAGUAGUCAAAGCAAUUAAUUUCAAAAGGCCCUUCC